rnacentral:tRNA from 4 species
UCGGGGAUAGCUCAGCGGUAGAGCAAUUGGCUGUUAACCAAUGGGUCCAGGGUUCGAAUCCCUGUCCCCGAGCCA